CUACGGGAGGCAGCAGUGAGGAAUAUUGGACAAUGGAUGGAAAUCUGAUCCAGCCAUGCCGCGUGCAGGAAGACGGCCCUAUGGGUUGUAAACUGCUUUUAUAUGGGAGCAAUAAGGCCUACGUGUAGUUGAUGAGAGUACCAUAUGAAUAAGCACCGGCUAACUCCGUGCCAGCAGCCGCGGUAAU
rnacentral:rRNA from 1 species